AUUGAACGCUGGCGGCAGGCUUAACACAUGCAAGUCAACUGUGGCGGACGGGUGAGUAACGCGUAAAGAACUUGCCUCACAGUUAGGGACAACAUUUGGAAACGAAUGCUAAUACCUGAUACUGUGAGAGAGCUUUGCGUCCCAUUAGCUAGUUGGAGAGGUAACGGCUCACCAAGGCGAUGAUGGGUAGCCGGCCUGAGAGGGUGAUCGGCCACAAGGGGACUGAGACACGGCCCUUACUCCUACGGGAGGCAGCAGUGGGGAAUAUUGGACAAUGGACCAAAGUCUGAUCCAGCAAUUCUGUGUGCACGAUGAAGUUUUCGGAAUGUAAAGUGCUUUCAGUUGGGAAGCGGUACCAACAGAAGAAGUGACGGCUAAAUACGUGCCAGCAGCCGCGGUAAUUC
rnacentral:rRNA from 1 species